ensembl:miRNA
GGUACAAUUCCAGUGGCCCUGACUGAAAACCAGCAGUUGUACUGUAGCUGUUGGUUUCAAGCAGAGGCCUAAAGGACUGUCUUCCU